UUGGUUUCUAUCCUCAAUUUUUUUUUAGUUUUUAGUACGAAAGGACCAUUACUAUGAGAUAUUCUUUAUUAUUUGAUUAUUUUU
rnacentral:rRNA from 1 species